rnacentral:rRNA from 1 species
GAUGAACGCUAGCGGGAGGCUUAACACAUGCAAGUCGAGGGGCAGCACGAGGUAGCAAUACUUUGGUGGCGACCGGCGCACGGGUGAGUAACGCGUAUGCAACCUACCCUGUACAGGGGGAUAACCCGGAGAAAUUCGGACUAAUACCCCAUAAAGAUAUUUUGAGGCAUCUUAAGAUAUUUAAAGUUCCGGCGGUACGGGAUGGGCAUGCGUAACAUUAGCUAGUUGGUAAGGUAACGGCUUACCAAGGCAACGAUGUUUAGGGGACCUGAGAGGGUGAUCCCCCACACUGGUACUGAGACACGGACCAGACUCCUACGGGAGGCAGCAGUGAGGAAUAUUGGUCAAUGGGCGCAAGCCUGAACCAGCCAUCCCGCGUGAAGGAAGAAUGCGCUAUGCGUUGUAAACUUCUUUUCCAGGGGAAUAAAAUUUUGUACGAGUACGGAAUUGAAGGUACCCUGGGAAUAAGCAUCGGCUAACUCCGUGCCAGCCGCCGCGGUAAUAC